CCCUUAGAUGUUCUGGGCCGCACGCGCGCUACACUGAUACAGGCAGCAAGUUAUAUUUCCCCUUGGCCGAGAGGCCUGGGCAAUCUUGUUAACGUGCAUCGUGAUAGGGAUAGAUUAUUGAAAUUAUUAAUCUUGAACGAGGAAUUCCUAGUAAACGCAGAUCAUCAAUCUGCAUUGAUUACGUCCCUGCCCUUUGUACACACCGCCCGUCGCACCUACCGAUUGGAUGGUCCGGUGAAGCCUCGGGAUUGUGGUUCUUGCCGCUUUAUUGUGGCGUGACCGCGAGAACUUGUCUAAACCUUAUCAUCUAGAGGAAGGUGAAGUCGUAACA
rnacentral:rRNA from 1 species